rnacentral:rRNA from 1 species
CGCAUCGUAAUCCGUUUCGUCCUCGAAGCGUCAGUGCGACGGGCUCCUCGGCGGCCGGGCCGUGUAUCAACACGACCCACCUACAGACCUGAGCUCAGACUGGAUUACCCGCUGAAUUUAAGCAUAUUAGUGAGCGGAGGAAAAGAAACUAAAAAGGAUUCCCUUAGUAAUGGCGAACGAACAGGGAAGAGCUCACGUCGAAAAUCAGGACUUCUUGUCCUGACUUGUGGCGUCUAGUCAUGGUUCCAGUAGCCGCGCAGGUGUAAGUCCCUUGGCAACGGGCAUGAUAGAGGGUGAGAAUCCCGUCUGACAUCUNNNNNNNNNAUUUGCGCAAGUCCCGCGUACGGGCCGUGUUCACAGAGUCGUGUACCCUGAGAUGGGAGCGCAAAGUUGGUGGUACAUUCCAUCUGAAGCUCAAUACUGACUCGAGACCGAUAGCGAACAAGUACCGUGAGGGAAAGGUGCAAAGUACUUUGGAAAGAGAGUUAAACGUGCCUGAAACCGC